GUUUAAAUAGUUUAAUAAAAAUUUAGAUUUGUGGCAUCUAAGAUACAUUGCUUUGUUUUAAACU
rnacentral:tRNA from 1 species